CGCGGCCUAUCAGCUUGUUGGCGAGGUAACGGCUCACCAAGGCAACGACGGGUAGCUGGUCUGAGAGGAUGGCCAGCCACAUUGGGACUGAGAUACGGCCCAGACUCCUACGGGAGGCAGCAGUGGGGAAUCUUGCGCAAUGGCCUAACGGCCGACGCAGCGACGCCGCGUGUGGGAUGAAGCUCCUCGGAGUGUAAACCACUGUUGCCCGGGACGAAUAGCUCGAUUAAUCGAGCCUGACGGUACCGGGUGAGGAAGCACCGGCUAACUCCGUGCCAGCAGCCGCGGUAAUACGGGGGGUGCGAGCGUUGUCCGGAAUCACUGGGCGUAAAGGGCGCGUAGGUGGUUUGAUAAGGGUGUGGUGAAAGUCCGGGGCUCAACCCCGGAUCUGCCGUGCCGACUGUCAAACUCGAGGGCUGUAGAGGCAGACGGAAUUCCGGGUGUAGCGGUGGAAUGCGUAGAGAUCCGGAGGAAGACCGGUGGCGAAGGCGGUCUGCUGGGCAGUUUCUGACACUGAUGCGCGACAGCGUGGGGAGCAAACAGGAUUAGAUACCCUGGUAGUCCACGCCGUAAACGAUGGGUACUAGGUGCCUGGGGGAGCGACCCUCUGGGUGCCGGCGCUAACGCAGGAAGUACCCCGCCUGGGGAGUACGG
rnacentral:rRNA from 1 species